ACUCUGUAGUAGGAAGAGAUGCCAUUUACACACCACACAGAUGUGAGCACACACGCAUGAGGUCAUACACGGGGAGAGACACCUCCACUCACACCAUGACCGCUCCACAGACAGGGGCUGCCCCCCUCCCCUUUCUCAGAGUGUUAGAUGCUCUCACACUGGAGACCACAGUGGCGUUUGCAGCUGGGGUAUGAGUGCUGCUCACCACCUACUAGGAAGGACAGGGCUGCCUUAGCUUUUCUUUACUUUGUUAGAAAACUACACAUCCUAGUGUCGUGGCACCAGAGUGGAGGUCAGAGGGCAGCUGACUAGAAGUGCUUCUCUCCUCCCACUAUGUGGAUCCCUGAGACUGAAUGAAGGCUGUCUAUCUGUCUUGUAGGAAGGCCCCUACCACUGAGCCACCUCCCCAGCCGGCACCCUUGCCUUUUCUAUUACAGGGUAUUAACCCUCAUCCUCCCCACACUGCCCAAGUGCCAGAGCUCCUGGGGAUGACCUCACGCUUGCUGUCAGGACCAGCCUGAGGCAGCAGAAGAAAUCAGCACAGAGAGGGUGCUGAGCAGACUGGAAGCAACCCAGCACAGCACAGGGCUCUUACUUGUUUGCACUUGUCGUCGGCACUUUUCUUGUCUGCCUCAGCCCGCUCAGCGCGGUUGUUGGCAGUCUUCAUGUUUAGAUUCCGCAUCUGUAUCUUUUUCUUGGUGGCCUCCAUGGUUUCUGUGGGGCAUGGACACAGGGCUGAAUGAACAGCCCAGGGUGGAGGACCAGGCCUUAUAAGCCCUGCAUGCUUGCCCUUCUGUAGGCUAGUCUUGGAGGAGGCCCAAGUCUGCUGCCGGGCCAGCUGCUACUUGCUUACACAAGGGAAGACUCGGCCAGUUCGCCAGCCUAAAACCCUGGCCUUAUUUGGGCCUAGGCUUUUCUUAAAGAAAAAGGAUGCCAGCUCAGGUUCCAUUUAUAACCUGGGGACACAGGUAUGGGACCUGCGUGUACUGUGUGGGCAACAGGCCAGCACAGCACCGGGGUCACAGGUUUUACCACAGCGCCAGCUGCAUUCCACCAUACUAUUCUGUAGUUCUGGGUGUGGAAUUCAGCACGUCUUACCACAUUCCCGAUAGGAAACUGAGGCCCAAGGAAGCUCACUCAUGGCCACCCAGCUUGUCAGUGACGCAGUGGACCCUGGUGCUGAGAUGGUCCAGCACCGCAGUGCCCCAAGAUAUCUGCUAGAUAUCUUGCCAGAAGCACACAUCCCAAUUCCACGGCAGCCCAGUGUCUCUAGCCGCCGCACACUUUCUUACACUUAAAUCGCUACAUGAAAGAACACGCAACACAAGAACCUUUGAUCCAAUCGACAAGAUAUAAUUGCCCACCUUGGGGGCUGGAGAGAUGGCUCAGCGGUUAAGAGCGCCCGACCGCUCUUCCAGAGGUCAUGAGUUCAAUUCCCAGCAACCACAUGGUGGCUCACAACCAUCUGUAAAGAGAUCUGAUGCCCUCUUCUGGUGUAUCUGAAGACAGCUACAGUGUACUUAUAUAUAAUAAAUAAAUAAAUCUUUAAAAAAAAAAUAA